rnacentral:rRNA from 1 species
CGGAGUGGCGAACGGGUGAGUAACAUAUCGGAACGUACCGAGUAAUGGGGGAUAACUAAUCGAAAGAUUAGCUAAUACCGCAUAUUCUCUGAGGAGGAAAGCAGGGGACCUUCGGGCCUUGCGUUAUUCGAGCGGCCGAUAUCUGAUUAGCUAGUUGGUGGGGUAAAGGCCUACCAAGGCGACGAUCAGUAGCGGGUCUGAGAGGAUGAUCCGCCACACUGGGACUGAGACACGGCCCAG